rnacentral:rRNA from 1 species
CGCGUGGGAAUCUACCCAGCUCUACGGAAUAACUCAGGGAAACUAGAGCUAAUACCGUAUACGUCCGAUAGGAGAAAGAUUUAUCGGAGUUGGAUGAGCCCGCGUUGGAUUAGCUAGUUGGUGGGGUAAUGGCCUACCAAGGCGACGAUCCAUAGCUGGUCUGAGAGGAUGAUCAGCCACACUGGGACUGAGACACGGCCCAGACUCCUACGGGAGGCAGCAGUAGGGAAUAUUGGGCAAUGGGCGAAAGCCUGAUCCAGCCAUGCCGCGUGAGUGAUGAAGGCCCUAGGGUUGUAAAGC